AUUGAACGCUGGCGGCAUGCCUUACACAUGCAAGUCGAACGGUAACGGGCCUUCGGGUGCCGACGAGUGGCGAACGGGUGAGUAAUACAUCGGAACGUGCCCGAUCGUGGGGGUUAACGAGGCGAAAGCUUUGCUAAUACCGCAUACGAUCUACGGAUGAAAGCAGGGGACCGCAAGGCCUUGCGCGGACGGAGCGGCCGAUGGCAGAUUAGGUAGUUGGUGGGAUAAAAGCUUACCAAGCCGACGAUCUGUAGCUGGUCUGAGAGGAUGAUCAGCCACACUGGGACUGAGACACGGCCCAGACUCCUACGGGAGGCAGCAGUGGGGAAUUUUGGACAAUGGGCGCAAGCCUGAUCCAGCCAUGCCGCGUGCAGGAUGAAGGCCUUCGGGUUGUAAACUGCUUUUGUACGGAACGAAAAGCCUUCUUUUAAUACAGGAGGGUCAUGACGGUACCGUAAGAAUAAGCACCGGCUAACUACGUG
rnacentral:rRNA from 1 species